UNGGGUCUGCAGUGCUUCCCAUAGCUUGUC
rnacentral:piRNA from 1 species